AGAGUUUGAUCAUGGCUCAGGACGAACGCUGGCGGCGUGCUUAACACAUGCAAGUCGAACGAUGAAGCCCUUCGGGGUGGAUUAGUGGCGAACGGGUGAGUAACACGUGGGCAAUCUGCCCUGCACUCUGGGACAAGCCCUGGAAACGGGGUCUAAUACCGGAUACUGAUCGCCUUGGGCAUCCUUGGUGAUCGAAAGCUCCGGCGGUGCAGGAUGAGCCCGCGGCCUAUCAGCUUGUUGGUGAGGUAAUGGCUCACCAAGGCGACGACGGGUAGCCGGCCUGAGAGGGCGACCGGCCACACUGGGACUGAGACACGGCCCAGACUCCUACGGGAGGCAGCAGUGGGGAAUAUUGCACAAUGGGCGAAAGCCUGAUGCAGCGACGCCGCGUGAGGGAUGACGGCCUUCGGGUUGUAAACCUCUUUCAGCAGGGAAGAAGCGAAAGUGACGGUACCUGCAGAAGAAGCGCCGGCUAACUACGUGCCAGCAGCCGCGGUAAUACGUAGGGCGCGAGCGUUGUCCGGAAUUAUUGGGCGUAAAGAGCUCGUAGGCGGCUUGUCGCGUCGGUUGUGAAAGCCCGGGGCUUAACCCCGGGUCUGCAGUCGAUACGGGCAGGCUAGAGUUCGGUAGGGGAGAUCGGAAUUCCUGGUGUAGCGGUGAAAUGCGC
rnacentral:rRNA from 1 species